GUGAUUGGACAUACGGGUACGGGGAUUAGGGUUCGAUUCCGGAGAGGGAGCCUGAGAAACGGCUACCACAUCCAAGGAAGGCAGCAGGCGCGCAAAUUACCCAAUCCCGAUACGGGGAGGUAGUGACAAUAAAUAACAAUACAGGGCUCUUACGGGUCUUGUAAUUGGAAUGAGUACAAUUUAAAUCCCUUAACGAGGAACAAUUGGAGGGCAAGUCUGGUGCCAGCAGCCGCGGUAAUUCCAGCUCCAAUAGCGUAUAUUAAAGUUGUUGCAGUUAAAAAGCUCGUAGUUGAAUUUCGGGGUUCUACCGUUGGUCGGGCAAUAGUCUGUACUGGCGUGUAGAAUUUCUACCUUCUGGGGAACCAUCAUGUUAUUUAUUUAGCGUGGUGGGAAACCAGGACCUUUACCUUGAAAAAAUUAGAGUGUUCAAAGCAGGCUUACGUCUGAAUACAUUAGCAUGGAAUAAUAAAAUAGGACGGUGGUCCUGUUUUGUUGGUUUCUGAAUCACCGUAAUGAUUAAUAGGGAUAGUUGGGGGCAUUAGUAUUCAAUUGUCAGAGGUGAAAUUCUUGGAUUUAUUGAAGACUAACUUCUGCGAAAGCAUUUGCCAAGGAUGUUUUCAUUAAUCAAGAACGAAAGUUAGGGGAUCGAAGACGAUCAGAUACCGUCGUAGUCUUAACCAUAAACUAUGCCGACUAGGGAUCGGACGAUGUUAAUUUUUCUUGACUCGUUCGGCGCCUUACGGGAAACCAAAGUUUUUUGGGUUCA
rnacentral:rRNA from 1 species